UACAUGCUGCAUAAUCAACGGGAUUUGUACUGUUUUUUUAAAUGGCGUAGGAGUUUAUUUAGAUUCACGCGACAUAAUACAUGUAUAGAUGCUAUCGAACAUAGCAUAAGCAUACCUAAAUGGUUAAUAUGCCAUAAUGAUGUAUAAAUCUUGCAGAAUUAACUCUAGGAUUUUUAGCAGCUACCGACCCAGAUAAACGGAUAAAGCCAUAAAGCCCUUCUCUUUGAUAUUCAUAAGACGCGGAUAACAAAAGAAACGAAGAACAACCCAAACGGCUAGCUGUAUAUAAUUGAUGGACUUGGAAACAAAAUAGAAACUAUAACAAGCUGGAUGAUUGAUGACACUGUCACAAAAUAACAACAAAGUACAUACUCUACUUUUUAGGACAUGAUGUACGGGACAAUCAACGCCAUGUUUACAAGUGUACCUUAAUAGUUAUGAGAAAUCAGAAUCAUCGCCAGCUUUACAAAAUAGAUGGCCUUUACUUUGGGAGUACACGUGACAGUUAAAAUGACCCGUCGUCUCGCUGGUUCUUCUAUUGAAUACCAGAAGUGAUUUAUUGCAGUUCGCAGAAACGGCUUCGAUUUUUUAAGGAAAGUUGCCAAAAGGGAUGCUUUCGUUUCGUAAGCAGUAAAAUCCUCGAUUGAUUUUUUUUAAUCUUUAAAAAGCCAAUACGGUGUAGGCUACUUUAGCAGUUAACGAUUGGAAUUGAAUAAACCGUUAGCAAGUAAGGGAUUGUGCAUCGGGGAGCGUUUCUUAAUAUUGGGGUUCACUGUCAAUAUUUCGAGUGAAAUCACUAGAUAACUUGUGCUGGAAAGCAAUCAGGUUGGAAGUGUUUUGUAAUUGUUUUCAUCAUCUAAUUGUGUUGUGCCAGUGUUGCGGCAGCUGUCAGUGACGGAUCAGUUGAAACUCUCUUUGUGUUCAGAUUCUAAGCGCGAGCGAUUUCUAGACGGUCUUUUAUUUUUAUCUCCACCGACCGAAUAUCAUCUAUGUAACUUCAUUUAAAGUGCGUAUUGGGUUUAUGUUGGACAGUACCAGUUAUAUAGCAGACUGUCUCCACAUUCAUUAUGGGAUAUUGACGGAAUUGUUUACAUUUGAUAAAAGAAUAUUUUAUGAUUUGAUAACAGAUGAUAUGAAUGUAGAAGGUUAUAGUACAGCGCCCUGGAGAACCACUGGAUUAACUUAUACUAUGUAGAUACCGGUGUAUUUAAAAGAUGAUUGUUGUAUUUGACUUGUUGGUUGUGUGAUGAACUAAUACGUGAUUUUUGUUAUCUUUGGUGAUUUGAUGAACUAAUACAUAAAUUUGUUAUGUGUGGAUGGUAAAACU